rnacentral:rRNA from 1 species
GAUGAACGCUGGCGGCGUGCUUAACACAUGCGAGUCGAACGAUGAAGCCCAGCUUGCUGGGUGGAUUAGUGGCGAACGGGUGAGUAACACGUGAGUAACCUGCCCUUGACUCUGGGAUAAGCCUGGGAAACUGGGUCUAAUACUGGAUAUGACUUCUCAUCGCAUGGUGGGGGGUGGAAAGAUUUAUUGGUCUUGGAUGGACUCGCGGCCUAUCAGCUUGUUGGUGAGGUAAUGGCUCACCAAGGCGACGACGGGUAGCCGGCCUGAGAGGGUGACCGGCCACACUGGGGCUGAGACACGGCCCAGACUCCUACGGGAGGCAGCAGUGGGGAAUAUUGCACAAUGGGCGCAAGCCUGAUGCAGCGACGCCGCGUGAGGGAUGACGGCCUUCGGGUUGUAAACCUCUUUCAGUAGGGAAGAAGCGAGAGUGACGGUACCUGCAGAAGAAGCGCCGGCUAACUACGUG